GAUGAAGAACGUAGCGAAAUGCGAUACGUAGUGUGAAUUGCAGAAUUCAGUGAAUCAUCGAAUCUUUGAACGCACAUUGCACCUCUCGGUAUUCCGGGAGGUAUGCCUGUUCGAGCGUCAUUUGUACCCUCAAGCUCUGCUUGGUGUUGGGUGUCUGUUCCGCCUCUGUGUGUGAACUCGCCUCAAAACAAUUGGCAGCCGGCGUACUUGUUUCGGAGCGCAGCACAUUUUGCGAUCCAGAUCAACGUACAGCGGCAUCCAAGAAGCCUUAUUUAACGCUCUUGACCUCGGAUCAGGUAGGGAUACCCGCUGAACUUAAGCAUAUCAAUAAGCGGAGGA
rnacentral:misc_RNA from 1 species